rnacentral:rRNA from 1 species
GACGAACGCUGGCGGCGUGCUUAACACAUGCAAGUCGAACGGAAAGGCCCUGCUUUUGUGGGGUGCUCGAGUGGCGAACGGGUGAGUAACACGUGAGUAACCUGCCCUUGACUUUGGGAUAACUUCAGGAAACUGGGGCUAAUACCGGAUAGGAGCUCCUGCUGCAUGGUGGGGGUUGGAAAGUUUCGGCGGUUGGGGAUGGACUCGCGGCUUAUCAGCUUGUUGGUGGGGUAGUGGCUUACCAAGGCUUUGACGGGUAGCCGGCCUGGGAGGGUGACCGGCCACAUUGGGACUGAGAUACGGCCCAGACGCCUACGGGAGGCAGGAGUGGGGAAUAUUGCACAAUGGGCGGAAGCCUGAUGCAGCAACGCCGCGUGCGGGAUGACGGCCUUCCGGUUGUAAACCGCUUUCGCCUGUGAUGAAGCGUGAGGGACGGUAAUGGGUAAAGAAGCACCGGCUAACUACGU